rnacentral:rRNA from 1 species
GAUGAACGCUAGCUACAGGCUUAACACAUGCAAGUCGAGGGGCAGCAUGAACAUAGCUUGCUAUGUUUGAUGGCGACCGGCGCACGGGUGCGUAACACGUAUCCAAUCUGCCCGUUACUCGGGGAUAGCCUUCUGAAAGGAAGAUUAAUACCCGAUGGCAUUCAUUGGCGGCAUCGCUUUUGAAUUAAAGAUUUAUCGGUAACGGAUGAGGAUGCGUACGAUUAGCUGGUUGGCGGGGUAACGGCCCACCAAGGCAACGAUCGUUAGGGGUUCUGAGAGGAAGGUCCCCCACACUGGAACUGAGACACGGUCCAGACUCCUACGGGAGGCAGCAGUGAGGAAUAUUGGUCAAUGGGCGAGAGCCUGAACCAGCCAAGUAGCCUGAAGGAUGACUGCCCUACGGGUUGUAAACUUCUUUUGUUUGGGAAUAAAAGACGCUACGUGUAGCGUUCUGCAUGUACCUUCGAAUAAGCAUCGGCUAAUUCCGUGCCAGCCGCCGCGGUAAGAC